rfam:Clostridiales bacterium CHKCI001 isolate CHKC1 genome assembly, contig: {contig8}
AAUAUCCUGGGAUGUUCGAGAUCCUGCUUUUUUUGAACCUACAUGACAUAAUACGGGAUUCCUAGAUUGUCAGAUGGAUGUCAAGCCUCCGAUUUGCAGUGGAAGGCAGAAGUCUGAUUGCGGUUGCCCACCUAGCUUCGCUAGGCGUCAAAGUGGCAGGGACGGCAUUUUGGGAUAUAA